ACAACCACUUGUUUAGCAAAAUAAAAAAAUAUUUGUACAUUUAAGCAAUAUCUUAUUAAAGUUUGCAUUGAAUAAACAGUUGCCAUACAAAAUGGUGUCUUUAAAAUGAAUACAAAAACAGAUUUUAUUUUUCCUUAAUUUUUGAGAAAUUAUCAUGCUAAUUGUAAUUUGGGAAAUAGCCAAAGAAAACAGGUUGAUACAUUGUUAACAAAAGACCUAAAAAUAUUAACAAAUAUGGUCUAAUCAAUGAUGUGAAUAAUUUGUUAGUUAAAUAUAUGUGUUCUCCAGUGUUUGUCAUUUGACAUGUUUUAUAUUGCUUUUGAUAUUAAAAAUUUUAUGAUUAACAUGAUCAACAUUAAUCAAACAUUUCUGAGUAGAAACAACUUUCUAAGUAUAACUACUGGCUGUGGAAUCUCACUGCCACAAUAGUUAUUAUAUGUUUAUGUAUGUAAGACCUCUUUUAUAAACCUGCAAACUAUUAGGUUUCUAAUGGGUACUGAAAAAAUGAACUGUUGAAACAUUCUAAGGUUUAACACCGCAAACUGCAAAAUUUCUCUUAUUUUAUUGGGUGGUUCGGUGCCAAACCCCAGGACCCCUUUCAGCCACAUUAAGUUCAUCUGUAAGAGCACAGAUGGAGUAUGCAGUAGUGAAGAUUUAACCAGGGUUGUUAAUACCAAAGGAACUGGACAAAGUGAGCAGGGCAAAGGUUAAUGCCAACUGAGUUGUUGUGAUCACUGACCCAUCAAAGUUGAGUAGAAGAGAAAAGUUAGAAUGAGGAGCAUGGAAAAAUGGUAGACCUGGUAAGUCUGAAAUCCAUGAAGAGUUAUCAUUGAAAGUGAGCUCUCAGACAGCAAAGUAUUUAAAAUUAAGAUUAUGAUGGGUUUGCAUCUAUUGGUAACAGCAAGACCUAGGGUAUGACAUUUAUGUGUGUGCAUAUAUGUAUGUAAGUGCGUGUGUUUAAAUGUUUAUGAAUCUUGUGUUCUACUAUUCUCAUGUAGAAAACAUUGUUUGCUUUAGCAAAAUUAAAAGUUUUAUUUUAUUACCCAAUGA